AUUGAACGCUGGCGGCAGGCCUAACACAUGCAAGUCGAACGGUAACAGGAAGCAGCUUGCUGCUUCGCUGACGAGUGGCGGACGGGUGAGUAAUGUCUGGGAAGCUGCCUGAUGGAGGGGGAUAACUACUGGAAACGGUAGCUAAUACCGCAUAAUGUCGCAAGACCAAAGAGGGGGACCUUCGGGCCUCUUGCCAUCGGAUGUGCCCAGAUGGGAUUAGCUUGUUGGUGGGGUAACGGCUCACCAAGGCGACGAUCCCUAGCUGGUCUGAGAGGAUGACAAGCCACACUGGAACUGAGACACGGACCAGGCUCCUAAGGGAGGCAGCAGUGGGGAAUAUUGCACAAUGGGGGCAAGCCUGAUGCAGCCAUGCCGAGUGUAUGAAGAAGGCCUUCGGGUUGUAAAGUACUUUCAGCGGGGAGGAAGGGAGUAAAGUUAAUACCUUUGCUCAUUGACGUUACCCGCAGAAGAAGCACCGGCUAACUCCGUG
rnacentral:rRNA from 1 species